AGAGUUUGAUCCUGGCUCAGAACGAACGUUAGCGGCGCGCCUAACACAUGCAAGUCGAGCGAGAAAGGGAGCAAUCCCCGGUACAGCGGCGCACGGGUGAGUAACACGUAGGUAACCAACCUCCGAGUGGUGGAUAACCUUCCGAAAGGAGGGCUAAUACAGCAUGAGCCCACGAGGUCGAGAGACCAUGAGGGAAAAGUCGGCCAAUCCAUGGAAGCUGGCGCUUGGAGACGGGCCUGCGGCCCAUCAGCUAGUUGGUGAGGUAAUGGCUCACCAAGGCUAAGACGGGUAGCUGGUCUGAGAGGAUGAUCAGCCACACUGGAACUGAGACACGGUCCAGACUCCUACGGGAGGCAGCAGUGGGGAAUCUUGCGCAAUGGGCGAAAGCCUGACGCAGCGACGCCGCGUGGGUGAUGAAGGCCUUCGGGUUGUAAAGCCCUGUGGAGGGGGACGAAUAAGGCAUGGCUAACAUCCAUGUUGAUGACGGUACCCCUUUAGCAAGCACCGGCUAACUCUGUGCCAGCAGCCGCGGUAAGACAGAGGGUGCAAACGUUGUUCGGAAUUACUGGGCGUAAAGCGCGUGUAGGCGGCCUUGCAAGUCGGAUGUGAAAGCCCUGGGCUCAA
rnacentral:rRNA from 1 species